rnacentral:rRNA from 1 species
AGAGUUUGAUCCUGGCUCAGAUUGAACGCCGGCGGAAUGCUUUACACAUGCAAGUCGAACGGCAGCACGGGUGCUUGCACCUGGUGGCGAGUGGCGAACGGGUGAGUAAUGCGUCGGAACGUACCGAGUAAUGGGGGAUAACGCAGCGAAAGUUGUGCUAAUACCGCAUACGCCCUGAGGGGGAAAGUGGGGGAUCGUAAGACCUCACGUUAUUCGAGCGGCCGACGUCUGAUUAGCCAGUUGGUGAGGUAAUGGCUCACCAAGGCGACGAUCAGUAGCGGGUCUGUGAGGAUGAUCCGCCACACUGGGACUGAGACACGGCCCAGACUCCUACGGGAGGCAGCAGUGGGGAAUUUUGGACAAUGGGGGCAACCCUGAUCCAGCCAUUCCGCGUGAGUGAAGAAGGCCUUCGGGUUGUAAAGCUCUUUCAGCAGGAACGAAACGGUACGCUCUAACAUAGUGUGCUAAUGACGGUACCUGCAGAAGAAGCACCGGCUAACUACGUGCCAGCAGCCGCGGUAAUACGUAGGGUGCGAGCGUUAAUCGGAAUUACUGGGCGUAAAGCGUGCGCAGGCGGAUUGUUAAGCAAGAUGUGAAAUCCCCGGGCUUAACCUGGGAAUGGCAUUUUGAACUGGCAGUCUAGAGUGUGUCAGAGGGGGGUGGAAUUCCACGUGUAGCAGUGAAAUGCGUAGAGAUGUGGAGGAACACCGAUGGCGAAGGCAGCCCCCUGGGAUAACACUGACGCUCAUGUACGAAAGCGUGGGUAGCAAA